rnacentral:rRNA from 1 species
UACGUAGGGUGCGAGCGUUGUCCGGAAUUACUGGGCGUAAAGAGCUCGUAGGUGGUUUGUCGCGUUGUCCGUGAAAACUCACAACUCAAUUGUGGGCGUGCGGGCGAUACGGGCAGACUGGAGUACUGCAGGGGAGACUGGAAUUCCUGGUGUAGCGGUGGAAUGCGCAGAUAUCAGGAGGAACACCGGUGGCGAAGGCGGCUCACUGGACCGGUACUGACGCUGAUGCGCGAAAGCGUGGGGAGCAAACGGG